rnacentral:lncRNA from 1 species
UUGUGUAAAUAUUAUGUUGAGCUAUUUGAUUGAUCUUUUGAUGUUUCAUCUUCUGUUUGGCCUUGAUCAUGGUUGAUUUGAACUUCCAUUUGAUCAAUACUAUUAGAUUUAGGGGGUUGAUGAAGUGUAAACUUCAUCCCUCAAGAUGAAUGGAUAAUAUUGACCAGAUGAAAUUUCUCCCUUGAUCAAUUUGGAUUCUCUUCAUCUUCAUCUCC